rnacentral:lncRNA from 1 species
GAAAAUAAUAGAAUGACAAAUUAGUCCUGGCCGGUACAAAGAUACUUGGUCAAAGUUAGACAGUAAAUAUUAAUUCUUCUUUGACUGCAAAUAACCACAACAAUAAAGACAGAGAUAUAAAAUUAAGAUUACUUAACCUCUCAAAAAUUAAAGAAUAAUAGACAAAUUUCUUCAUACCUCUACAAUAGAAUUAAAUCAGUAAGAACCCACAAAUACGUACACGUAAUAUAUCAUCUGGAGAAACCCAAAUUUUUAUUGCCCUACAAUUGAAAGAAAAAGAUAUUCCGUAUGAGAGAUGCAAUAGAAAAAAAAUUGAAGUAUAAUUAAUAUUUCUUAACUUAGAUUGAGGAUUUGUACCAAAGCAAAGGAGGCAUAGAUUGAUAGGAAGAUGAAUUUCACAAAGAGUUGGGAGAGAAAUGGGAGAGAAUUGAGAAAUG